rnacentral:SRP_RNA from 1 species
GCUGGGAGUGGUGGUGCGUGCCUGUAAUCCCAGCUACUUGGGAGGCUGAGGCAGGAGAAUCGCUUGAACCCGGGAGAUGGAGGUUGCAGUGAGCUGAGAUUGCGCCACUGCACUCCAGCCUGGGUGAUAGAGUGAGACUCGGCCUCAA